rnacentral:rRNA from 1 species
AGAACGAACGCUGGCGGCAUGCCUAAUACAUGCAAGUCGAACGAACUCUUCGGAGUUAGUGGCGCACGGGUGCGUAACGCGUGGGAAUCUGCCCCUUGGUUCGGAAUAACAGUUGGAAACGACUGCUAAUACCGGAUGAUGACGAAAGUCCAAAGAUUUAUCGCCAAGGGAUGAGCCCGCGUAGGAUUAGCUAGUUGGUGAGGUAAAGGCUCACCAAGGCAACGAUCCUUAGCUGGUCUGAGAGGAUGAUCAGCCACACUGGGACUGAGACACGGCCCAGACUCC